UACGUAGGGUGCAAGCGUUAAUCGGAAUUACUGGGCGUAAAGCGUGCGCAGGCGGUUUUGUAAGUCUGUCGUGAAAGCCCCGGGCUCAACCUGGGAACUGCAUUUGGGACUGCAAGGCUGGAGUACGGCAGAGGGAGGUGGGAAUUCCACGUGUAGCAGUGAAAUGCGUAGAGAUGUGGAGGAACACCGAUGGCGAAGGCAGCC
rnacentral:rRNA from 1 species